rnacentral:rRNA from 1 species
UCAUUUCGUCUCAUCUGCACUGAAUUGUGGUCUGUAGACGGUGACACUAUCAGCCGGGCCAAGUCCCUUGGAACAGGGCAGCUGAGAGGGUGAGACUCCCGUUCGCCCGGCAGAGUGAGUCGCCAGUCAACGAGUCGAGUUGUUUGGGAUUGCAGCUCAAAGUGGGUGGUAAAUUCCAUCUAAAGCUAAAUAUUGGUGGGAGACCGAUAGCGUACAAGUACCGUGAGGGAAAGAUGCAAAGAACUUUGAAAAGAGAGUUAAAGAGUACCUGAAAUUGCUGAAAGGGAAGCGAAGGAAACCAGUGUUGGGUUGGUCAUAUUUCCCAGUCUGCUUGCAGUUUGGGCGCUGUGUCCGUCCUGAGUUGUUCUUGGUUGUCGCUGGUGGAAGGGCGUGCGCAGAGUUGAUGCGACAUUGCCAGCACGAGCGUUGACUGAGGAGGACGAAA